rnacentral:rRNA from 1 species
GCAGGCCUAACACAUGCAAGUCGAGCGGUAGAGAGAAGCUUGCUUCUCUUGAGAGCGGCGGACGGGUGAGUAAUGCCUAGGAAUCUGCCUGGUAGUGGGGGAUAACGUUCGGAAACGGACGCUAAUACCGCAUACGUCCUACGGGAGAAAGCAGGGGACCUUCGGGCCUUGCGCUAUCAGAUGAGCCUAGGUCGGAUUAGCUAGUUGGUGAGGUAAUGGCUCACCAAGGCGACGAUCCGUAACUGGUCUGAGAGGAUGAUCAGUCACACUGGAACUGAGACACGGUCCAGACUCCUACGGGAGGCAGCAGUGGGGAAUAUUGGACAAUGGGCGAAAGCCUGAUCCAGCCAUGCCGCGUGUGUGAAGAAGGUCUUCGGAUUGUAAAGCACUUUAAGUUGGGAGGAAGGGCAGUUACCUAAUACGUGAUUGUUUUGACGUUACCGACAGAAUAAGCACCGGCUAACUCUGUGCCAGCAGCCGCGGUAAUACAGAGGGUGCAAGCGUUAAUCGGAAUUACUGGGCGUAAAGCGCGCGUAGGUGGUUAGUUAAGUUGGAUGUGAAAUCCCCGGGCUCAACCUGGGAACUGCAUUCAAAACUGACUGACUAGAGUAUGGUAGAGGGUGGUGGAAUUUCCUGUGUAGCGGUGAAAUGCGUAGAUAUAGGAAGGAACACCAGUGGCGAAGG